rnacentral:rRNA from 1 species
CGGGGGGAGCAAGCGUUGUUCGGAUUUACUGGGCGUAAAGGGCGCGUAGGCGGCCACCGCAAGUCGACUGUGAAAUCUCCGGGCUUAACUCGGAAAGGUCAGCCGAUACUGCGGGGCUAGAGUGCAGAAGGGGCAACUGGAAUUCUCGGUGUAGCGGUGAAAUGCGUAGAUAUCGAGAGGAACACCUGCGGCGAAGGCGGGUUGCUGGGCUGACACUGACGCUGAUUGUGCGAAAGCUAGGGGAGCGAACGGGAUUAGAUACCCCGGUAGUCCUAGCCUUAAACGAUGAAUGCUUGGUGUCUGGGGUUUUAUAGUCCCCGGGUGCCGUCGCUAACGCUUUAAGCAUUCCGCCUGGGGCGUACGGUCGCAAGACUG